UACCACAUUUUUAUGAAAUUAAGGACAUGAAAAAAUUUUACUAUCUUUAUAGCAUGUCGAGUUAGCUUGAAAUAAGAAUUUUUAUGUAAUAUCUGUUGUUUACCUUUUUAGUUGCAUAUUGUGGACAUGUGUAUGCAUUUUGCGUAACGUAAUUUAUAAUAAAUAAUAAUCGAUGCAUCCGAAGUGAAGCUCGAGGCCAUUAAUGCAAGUCCAUUAACAUUAAAAAUUUCUUGUUAUACGCUUCUCUGAUCUUAUCUAUUUUGAUAAAAGUAUUUUCAAUAAAACAUAAAAUUCAUUUCAAUGGAAUAUGAUAACAAUAAAUAUAUAAUUAUUACGUGUUUAAUUUUAAUACGAACGUAUAAAUUGCUAUUAACACUUUUCCAAGUUUUAUUAUCUUUUCGCAAAUAUUAAUUAUAAUUUCUUCUGAUAAAUAUUGUGAAUUUAACAUAUAUGAUUUCAGUGAAUAAACCAAGUUUUAAACUAAAUCACGUAAAGAAUAUUAUGCAACUAAAAGUGAUUAAAAUAUAUUGUGAUACUAUAUGGUUCAGAUAAUUUUGUUCUGAAUUUGUUAUUAUACAAUGUUUUUUCACUACCAAACUCACGAUGAGUUUGACGCUUGGAAUAUUCUCUGGAGAUUCCUUCCAUCGCUCGGUGAGCGAGAUCGGAUGCAUCAUAGAAGCGAGAUUACAUUGGUAAAGAUAACAUUGCAUCAACAUAGAGAAGAUAUUCCACAUCUAACGGAAAUUGAAGGACUUGCACACACAUGACAUCAAAAUUGAAAAUUAUAAAUUAUAGUUUCAGAGACAUAUUGAAUGUCAAGUUCCCUUUGUUGCAAAGAAAUAUUUCGUCGAUGUUUUUCUUUCACAAAAGCAUUGUGAAAUAUAUUAUUAUUAUUGUAGACCCGACUGCAAGAUGUGAGAAAGUAAAGUUGAAGGAUCAGGAUAUAAAUAUGCGAUACUGGACAGCGUCUCAGUAUAAUGAGAAAAAUUCGGUAAUUAGUAAAAGAAAUAAAAUUAUAAAUUACAAAGCCAGUUUGCUCAGGUGCCGUAUGUUUGCCCCGCUAAUCAUCCGCUUUGACCGAAUGAUCCGAUUUCGGGCGGUGCCCUUUAGGCGUUAACCUCGUCCACGGAAGACAGUGUAGCGCGCGCGGUAACGACUUUAUUAGGAUUAUCGACGUGCGCACGUGCCUCACCCCCUGACAUUUCAACUCUUGACGAUGUUCGUUAUGGAAAGUGGGCCUUCGGCCGACGCCCUCCCCGCCGACCCUUCCGCCCCGUUCGCGUCACCAGCGGAGGCGCGCGACGGCUAAUUGCUAAUUAUCUUACGGUUUUAAUCAAUCAGUCAGAACGACACAUUGUGCAGUCAUGGCAGAUGUUGCGCAACCGCGCUGCAGCCCUUCCGCCAGGUAAUCAAGUCCAGAUCGUUCGUAUAAUUGGCCGGGUUACGUGAUCCCGUCGCGUUACACGCCUGUCGUUGUUACUCCCGUCGCGCCCGCUCGUUACGGUAUUACGUGAACUUCAUUAUUCCGCAGUUCGCUGUAAUUCAGCGGGGCGCAAGGGGGUAAAUCUGCCGCGGAUCGGCGCGGGAGAAAGCGAUCUCGUCGUUACAGGCGUCGCUACCUCCCUCUCUCUCUCACGCACACGCUCUUUCUCGCCAGCGAGAUUGCAGUCUGGCGCCCUGGACACAUAUAUUUCACGCCUUGUUGCGAGUAAGUGGCUUCUUCCAGUGACGGGAUUAAUGCCGUGAGGCGCGCUGCACAGCGUAUAAUAUUCGCUGACUCGUAUUUCAAAAGACGCGCGUAGGGUUUAUUUCAGUGCUCCUUGUUUCAACGCUCGUAUCAGUUACUGGAACAAUAUUUGUGUCGGUUACUGUAACUAGUACUCGACGAUUUGACUUGAAAUUUUACCACGUGCAACAAUAAUUUUAACAAUAAUUUGGACGAGGAAAAAUAUGAAAAAUGGAAUUUUGCCGCCUUAAUAGCCAUAUAUCCGGUGAUCAAUUUGGCUUAAUUGAGAUUCGAUAUAUCGAUUCAAGUUCCUAAACCACUACAUGACCACGCGAAGUUGUUAAUUAGUCUCUUGCAUCCUGUAUUCGACCCAGUUACUCGGAUAGUCAGAGCAAGCGUCAUCGCGCGUAAGCAUCAGCUAAGAAAAAGCGCAGGAUACGAGCGCAGGAGGUAAAGCGAGGGAAUCACGGGACGGAUCGACGGAGAAAAGCGGAACGGUACAUCGGAGGCGAUUACGAGGAGAAGGAUCGAAGAGACGUAACACAGGGAUAAAAAAGCAGAUUGAAGAAGAAGUAGAAGAAGAAGAAAA
rnacentral:lncRNA from 1 species